UACAGAGGGGGCAAGCGUUGUCCGGAAUCAUUGGGCGUAAAGAGCGCGUAGGCGGCCCUGUAAGUCCGCUGUGAAAGUCAAGGGCUCAACCCUUGGAUGCCGGUGGAUACUGCAGGGCUAGAGUCCGGAAGAGGCGAGUGGAAUUCCUGGUGUAGCGGUGAAAUGCGCAGAUAUCAGGAGGAACACCGAUGGCGAAGGCAGCUCGCUGGGACGGUACUGACGCUGAGGCGCGAAAGCGUGGGAGCAACAGG
rnacentral:rRNA from 1 species